rnacentral:tRNA from 1 species
UGGCCGAAUGGAUAAGCUGUCUGCUUUGUAAGCGGAUGAUCAUGGGUUCGAUUCCCAU